AGACUAGUGGUGUAGUGGUAACACGUUGCUUCCAAAUGUGAAGAGGGAUGGUUCGAUUCCUUCCCGGUCCA
rnacentral:tRNA from 1 species